UGAGGAACAUGACUUUCGGCGGGGGAGUAGCCUGCCCAACGGCCGGGUAAUACCGCGUACGACCACAUGGGGACGAUCCCUGAGUGGUGAAAGCAGCAAUGCGCCGAUGGAGUGCCUCGCGGCCUAUUAGCUAGUUGGUGAGGUAACGGCUCACCAAGGCAACGAUGCGUAGCCGACCUGAGAGGGUGAUCGGCCACAUUGGAACUGAGACACGGUCCAGACUCUACCGGGAGG
rnacentral:rRNA from 1 species